CCUCAGUGUUCUACAGCAGUUACACACAGGCAGUGGUAUCUGUGAGCAGCUCUGUGGACUCAAAGGUUUUCUCCCUGAGAGGCAUAACCCAGGCCAGCUGAUUCAUCAGAAUCAGACGAUUGGCUCUUUCGUCCUCAUGGUGGCUUCGUAGAGUGGGUGCUGUUCCCAAAUGUACCCAUUCGACAGAUGAGACGUCUGGGGUCAGAGAGGCAGGAACCGGCCUGGGAAUCCAGACGUGACCCUGAGUUUUGCUCUCAGCCCUGCCGUGUGCUGUGCUGGAAUUCAGGCCUGAACCCUGUGACCUCCCUGCCCUAGAUCCCAAAUCUGCCCAGGUUUCCGAUCCCCAUGGGGCAGAGCCUGGUCCUGGCAGAGCCACUGGUAUAGAGCCACUGUGGGUGGGGUGAAUAGGACGGUCCUCAGAACACCUCUGAGCCACUGGUAUAGGUCCACUGUGGGUGGGGUGAAUAGGACGGUCCUCAGAACACCUCUGUGCCCUAAGCUGGGUCCUGAUGGUCGCUGUGGGCCCCACUGAACACACAUGGUCCCUUGUCUGGGGGAGCCUGCUGCCCUUGGGCAGCUGUGGAAAAUGAAGGAGCCCUGGAGGGCUGGCUGAGGGGAGACUAUCUUCCCUUCUGUUCAAAGGGGUCCAGGCACUAGGGUUCUCCCCAGGUAUUUCUUGCUCUGUGUGGUCCUCUCCAGGCCUCGCCCUCCUUUUGCCCCGAGCAUUCCCAGGAGGGACGGUCCAUCCAGGUGUUCUCCAGGACCAAGGACCCACUGUUCUUCCUCAGUGACCCAGGAAAAUGAAGCCUCCUCCUCUAGGGACAGCUCAGAAUGGUGGACUCCAUAGUCCCUCUGCGAGAGAUGUGGUUUCCAUGAGUACAAUAGAUCUUUUUCAUCCCCAAACCGAACACCCUCCUGCUCAACAGGCGUUAUUCCUAAAGUGGAUUCACUGUUCAGACUGAAGGGCCAUGGUAGCCAAAGUGAUGAGCAGAGUAGAACCGAGCAGUCAGGAGAGAUCUUGUUCCCUGUAGGAAACGGGGCAUCCCUGUGGCCCUGAGCAUCCCAGGAGGCCGAGUGUACAGAGACCUCUGGUCGCUGACCCCAGUCUGCCUCCACAUCCCUGGAACAGCCCAUCAUGGGCCCUUCACCCUUGGCAGGUGGAAACCAUUCAACCUGCUGGGGCAGGUGUACCCCCAUUUCAUGGCAUUUGGGGACAACAGGAUUCUCUGUCUAGGUCCCACUGUACUCAAGUCCUUUGGAAGAUGCCCACCCCUGCUUGAGACUUGAGACUCCAGAGACUCGAGCAGCUGUGGGCCACUGGGUCUGGCCCCUUUUUACCUGGCGGUGGCAGUGGAAUGGGGGUUACGCAGCCAGCCAGCAUCUGGGAGCCCGGCAGGAGUGGUUCAGGUGUUCUCCGAAGCUGUCAGGUACAGUGUAACCUUUAGAGAAUUUUGUCUCACAGGAUGGACAUGGUAGAGGGGUAGAGGACGCGGACAGUUGGUGGGCACAAGAGCGAGAGGACAUCAUUUUGAAAUACGAAAAGGGACACCGAGCUGGGCUGCCAGAGGACAAGGGGCCUGAGCCUGUUGGAAUCUGCAGCGGCACUGAUCACUUUGGGAUUCUGCAGGUCUUGCUCUGUCACCCAGCCUGGCGUGCAGUGGUACAAACGGCUCACUGCAGCCUCUACCUCCUGGGAUCAAGCAAUCCUCCAGCUUCAGCCUCCUGAGUAGCUGAGACGACAGCUGCUCACCGCCAUGUCCAGCAAAUUUUUUUAUUUUUUGUAAAGAUAUGGUUUUACCAUGUUGGUCAGGCUGGUCUUGAACUCUUGGGCUCACGCGAUCCACCUGCCUCAGCUCCUAAAGUGCUGGGAUUACAGGUCUGAGCCAUGGUGUCUGGUCACACUCAUGGGAUUUAAUUGCCCUUGGAAUCAACAUUGUGCAGGAAAGGAGUAGGAUUGAGCAGAAAAAGUUGAACUAAAUGUAGUCACAGCAAAUGCCUCAGCUUCUGGAUCCUAAGGGAGCUCUGGAGCCAGGAGAGCCCUUCAGAGCAGCCCCACCCUGAGCCCUGCAUCUGCCAGUCAGUGCAGACGGACCUGGUCUAACUCUGAUGCCCGGGCUGGAGUGCUGGAAUGCAAUGACACCAUCACAGCUCACUGUAGCCUUGACCUCCUGGGCUCAAGUGAUUCUCCCACUUCAGCUUCCCAAGUAACUGGAACCACAGGCACAUGCCACCACGCCCAGCUAAUUAAAAAAAAAAAAAAAAUCUGUAGAGAUGAGGUUUCACCAUGUUGCCCAGGAUGGUCUGGAACUCCUGGGCUCAAGUGAUCCACCCACCUUGGCCUCCCAAAGUGCUGAGAUGACAGGCAUGAGCCACGGCUCCCAGCUUGGAACAAAACUCUCGAAGAAAAAAUUGGCAGAGCUUGUUGCCUGACCAAAAAACAGAAGCUGAAUGAGAGAGAUGCAUUUAAAACAAUACGAAACACUAAGGGUUUCCUGAAUACUGUUGGACAGUGCAAAAUGGGGGAAGUUAGGAUACAAAUCUAAUUCUGUUCUACUGUAAGGCUCAUGCCUUUUCACUAGACUAGUGCUGGUCCAACUGGUGUUCCAUGGGCUACAUUCAGACAGCAGACGUAUUUUGUUUGGCUGCACAGCAUUUAAAAAAUGUAAAUUGGCUGCCACUAUGUAAAAAUUGGAAGAGUUUAUAUGUAAGUUCAGAUCUCUAGCUUCUCUUGAGUAACUAGAAGAUCUAGCAACACUGGGUCAACAUUCUUGCAUGGCAGUAACUGCAGUUGAGUGACAGAUACUCUUUAAAUGGAGAGAGUAUCUCUUAUCUGGAUAAAUGGAGGUGGGUAUAUGCUCCUUAAUUCACCACAGUCUCUAUGCAUUACCUUCUUUGGCAUUUUUUUUUUUUUUUGAGGUGGAGUCACUCUGUCGCCCAGGCUGGAGUGCAGCAGCACAAUCUCGGCUCACUGAAACCUCAGCCUCCUGGGUUCAAGCAAUUCUCCUGCCUCAGCCACCCUAAAGCUGGAGUCUCACUAUGUUGCCCAGGCUGGUCUUGAACUUCUAGGCUCAAGCAAUCCUCCCACCUCGGCCUCUAAAAGUGCUGGCAUUAUAGGUGUGAGCCACCACGACCGGCCCAUUUGGACACUUAAUACUGGUUCAGCAGAACUGAAUGAAUUUAACUGGAGAGGAAGUUGGGGUGAAGUCUAGGCCUCUGACUGUAAUGAGAGGUUUGGCACUGAGGGGAGGCAACAGAACAGGGAGUACAAAUUAGGAUGAAUUAAUGACAUGCUGGCAGGAGCUUGAGUAAAGGAAGAAGAGCACCGGGCCAGGGCCUGAAGUUUGGGUGUCUUACCACAGAGCUAAAGAAGAGUGGGCAAUGGUAGAAUAAACUAGAGAAGAAGAGGAGAGAAAGGCACAGAGGAACUUCAGCAAUGGAAUGCCAGGGAAGGCAAGGGAGCUGAGGGUUUGGGCAGUUGCGUCCAGUGUAGGGAAGAAGAUCAGGGAGAUAGACAGGCAAAAAGCCAUGCAACAAGGAAGUAGUUAGGGACUUUCAGAGGAAGUUUGAGAAAAGGAGAGGAAGGUCAUGGGUCUGAAGUUUAGCAGUGCAGUAGGGGCACUGGAAUACUAUCUUGGGGCAUAGUCAUCAUUCUGACAUCAUCUAAAAGAAAUUAGUACCUGCAUUGCAUCCUUAAAGAAGAAGGGACCAAAAACAUGUCCAAACUGUCUGUCUGUUCUAGUGGAAUAAAACAUUACUUUAAUAUGUAUUUUGGACAACCACCAACCUACAGAUUGGAAACUUUUCUCAAGGAUAUAUCUCUCUGUAUGUGGGCUAUUGGCUUUGUGGAUUUUCUGUAGUAAAAUUAAAAUUCUAGUUUGUUCUCCCUUAUCACCCAGUGUCUUUCUGUGUGGCCUAACUGGCUGAUUAGUGCAUGCUUGGAAUGUGUAAAUUCAUUUUAACACUGGCCUAGGGGCCUGUGUGGUAGCGCACCCCUGUCAUCCCAGCACUUUGGCAGGCCAAAGCGGGGGGAUCACUUGAGGCCAGGAGUUCCAGACCAGCCUGGGCAACAUAGCAAGG